UGCGUAGGUGGCAAGCGUUAUCCGGAUUUACUGGGUGUAAAGGGCGUGUAGGCGGGACUGCAAGUCAGAUGUGAAAACCACGGGCUCAACCUGUGGCCUGCAUUUGAAACUGUAGUUCUUGAGUACUGGAGAGGCAGACGGAAUUCCUAGUGUAGCGGUGAAAUGCGUAGAUAUUAGGAGGAACACCAGUGGCGAAGGCGGUCUGCUGGACAGCAACUGACGCUGAGGCGCGAAAGCGUGGGGAGCAAACAGG
rnacentral:rRNA from 1 species